rnacentral:rRNA from 1 species
UACGUAGGGUGCGAGCGUUAUUCGGAAUUACUGGGCGUAAAGCGUGCGCAGGCGGUUUUGUAAGUCCGAUGUGAAAGCCCCGGGCUUAACCUGGGAAUGGCAUUUGGGACUGCAAGGCUUGAGUGCGGCAGAGGAGACUGGAAUUCCCGGUGUAGCAGUGAAAUGCGUAGAUAUCGGGAGGAAUACCGAUGGCGAAGGCAGGUCUCUGGGCUGACACUGACGCUCAUGCAGGAAAGCGUGGGGAGCAAACAGG